GGACUGUAAGUCUUACUUAGUGUAAGGCUCGGAUGCUGAAUUGGGGAAAAUGAAUGAGUGGAAGUGAUGUUGGGCACCAGCAGAACAAGGAAAUACCAGAGGAGAGGCAGAGGGGGACAGCUGGUAGAAAGCUGAGGGAACCGUACCUUUCUCCACGGAGAAUGCAGAACCCACCCCAGGCAUGUUGCUGUUUUUACACCACAUACCUCAGCUGGAGAGAAAACUUCGUAUCCUGAGAUACAUCACAACAAACCACAACUCCGUGAAGCACUAUUCCUCUAUUCUGACCCUUUAUCCUGUUCUGUUCUUUAUCCGACCAAAUCCCAGGGAGCUCCAUCCAACUCCAAGGAUAUCCCUGAGAGGGAGACUCACAGGCGGGGCUGUCGGCAAGCCUCAGACCAGGACCGUGCACUGGAAGGAAGGUGGGAAUGCCCUCCUGUGGCCUCUGAUGGGAGGAUAACCAAGAAACUGAGGUUCUGGAAGACCUGGGGACCUGGGCCAGCAUAUCAUUCUCCUCUCCAGGUGGUUCUGGGGCUCCGUGUCAGGGUGAGGCCUGAUGUGAAGAAGAAGGGGGUUAUGGCCUGAGCUCUGUAGCCUGGUUCAUGGGGGAAAGAAGCCAGACUGCUGAAAAAAGGAUAUAUAUUCCCGAGUAAGGAAUGUGUGUAGGUCAGGUGUUAGGGCCACUGAGUUCCAUGCCCUCGUAUCUAUCGUCGCUGUCACCUCCCAGAAUCCUCGAACUCUCAUUUGUACUAUGACAAUAACCUCUUGGUUGGUCUCCUUGCCUCCAUUCUUUCUGCCCAUGGUUUUGCCAGAAUGAGCUUUUGAAAAAGCGUAUUAAGUCAUGUCAGCUUUUAUUUUCAAAAUCUUUCAAAAUCUUU